AACGUAGGGGGCAAGCGUUGCCCGGAUUCACUGGGCGUAAAGCGGGUGUAGGCGGUCCUUUAAGUCAGAUGUGAAAUCCUGCGGCUCAACCGCGGAACUGCAUCUGAUACUGGGGGACUUGAGGACGGUAGAGGUCGGUGGAAUGCCCUGUGUACCGGUGAAAUGGGCAGAUAUAGGGCGGAACACCAGUGGCGAAGGCGGCCGACUGGGCCGAUCCUGACGCUGAGGAGCGAAAGCGUGGGGAGCGAACAGG
rnacentral:rRNA from 1 species